GUUACUCAUAACUCACGCAUUAUCCAAGCCCAACACAGGCUCCUUCUCCACGGUGCCGUUUAACGCUGAAACAGAAGCAAAUGGACAUGAACGGUCGAGAGGAGAGAUAACACGCAGAGUGUAUUGAAGAAGCUUCUGGAGAAAUACAUGCGGCGGAGAAACGAGAAAGGAAGAGAGAAGCUGGCGGGCGAAUAUUUUUGGAGAGAGGAGAGUUGAUGAUUUCUGGGGAAGAAGAAGAUAACAGAAGGGAGAGGGUUUUUCCGAAUCAAUAUGGAGUCUUAUUAGGUUUUGUUAAAGGGGAGGAAGUGAUUGAAGAAGGAAACACAAAGAGGCUUUGGAAUAGGGUGGGUUAAUUUCGGAUUGGCUAUUAGUUUCCUUUGUCUUCUCCGUUUUUUGAAACCAGUUUGUUGGUACGCAUUUCAGUUUUCUGAUAGUUUGAGGUUUUUCCCCUGCUAAUAUGUGUUUUUCCUUUUUGUUAAGAAAAAUAACUACUCUGUUCUCUGAGAUUGAUUAGAAUAGGAUGAUCUUUUGGUUUUUGUAUUUUCUUCUUUCCCUUUAAUGUCAUUUGCUUACAGUCACUUAUAUUAGUUUUCAUAUUGUGAUUAUUCUCGUCUGGAUUUGGAGAAAUGAUUUUUAGUUUGUUGGAAGUAGAAUUUUAUGGUUUUCUUCUUGUAAGUUCUUUUCGGAAAUAAUUUCACCAUACAAAUUAUGAAAUAAAAGAAAGAACUAGAACACACACCAAAUAACUGGUUCAGGACCACUUCCACUUGGCUAACUCCAUGGGAACUUACUAUUAUUCCGAUCACUAUAAUAUACAAAGAGAAGUAGUAUAAACACCGCGCAGAAUUCUCACUCUUCGUUACACCUGGUACACAGACUCAAGUUAUCUUGUACUAGAUCUCAAUGUCUUAACAUUUUUUACCUCCCCCUUUAUUCUUGCAAUUCACUACACUCUCUCUACUCCCAUACAACAUGUGCUCCAUUUAGGGGAAAAAGAGGAAGGGAACAAAAGGUUGAGGUAGGUGGAAUAUCAUCCGCCAGGCACCACGCUCAAGUUAGAAGUCAACAUUUCUCCCUUUUACACUCAUAUAUGGUUACUUGGAAAAACAAAAACAAAACAAAUUACCAAAUCCUAACACACAGAUAAAUUUGGCCUUCCUUCAAAUUACAUCACCGCCAUCAAGCACCAAAUUUAUUGUGUUAUCAUUGUCGUUUUUCUUCUCUCCUUUACCUCUUUUCAACUGCUUGGAGGUUCUUAGAUUAUCUGCUUUGCAUUUUCCCAGUAGUAGCAUGCAUGUAUGUAUAUCUUAGUUGAGACUCUCCACGAGGGUGACCUCUCCCUCGUCAAUGACUCUUCUCCCUUGUCAUGAGUUCUUCACAACUAAAUUUUCCUUUAACAUAUUUUUCUCAUUCGCCUUAGUUGGUGACAUAAGAUAGGAACAUGGUUAAAUUUACUUGAUCUCNNNNNNNNNNNNNNNNNNNNNNNNNNNNNNNNNNNNNNNNNNNNNNNNNNNNNNNNNNNNNNNNNNNNNNNNNNNNNNNNNNNNNNNNNNNNNNNNNNNNNNNNNNNNNNNNNNNACAACUAAUUAGGAAUAGAAUUAAAAAUAAUACUGAACUAGCAACCUACUUAGAAAUGUGAAUCUAAAAAUAAAUAUCAAUGCUUUAAAUGAUAAUAAUACUAGUAGCAUUUCUAUAAUGCUUCUUUGUAUCAUUCUCCCCCACUUAAAGAAAACUUGUCUUCGAGUUUUGAAAUGUCCAAAAAUAAUAGAACUCAAUCGAUGCACAUUUGAAAAAUUUUGUUGGAAAUCCUUUGACUUGUUGCUCUUAUGAGGAAAAAUAUUUGGCAACAGAAAUAUGAUUGAAGGUUGAUAAAACCAAGAUGGUCGAACAAACUUAAAAAAAUUAAAAACUUUCUUUCUUGGUUUGCUCAUUAGAUUCAAUAUCAAUAGCCUUAUAUCCUAUAAAAAAAUCAAUAACUUUAUCAUAUUUUCAAGAAAAAAAUCAAUAGCUUUAUCUUUCCAUGAAGCAUGUUUAUUAGUUGUAGGAUUAUUUUUACCAUGAAGUUGAUCAUCUUCUUGUUCUUGGGCUUGCGACUUACUUUACUCCUCUACUUGUUCUUGUAUUAUUUCUUCUACUUGAUUUUCCAUCCCUUCUUCAUAUAGCUCAAGCUCUUGUCAUGACUUUUCAUUUUCCAUUUCUUUUUACCAUGCGUAAAAUGCCUGUAAGCUUGGCCAGAAGGAGUUACUGUUUCUACAUCAGCAACUGUUGAUUUGUUAGGACUCAUAACUUAUUAAUUUAAUAUGAGAUGAGCCUGAAACUUAUUUUAUGCUCAUGUUAAUUAAGAUUUGUUUUGUGUUUGAUUGGUUAUUGAUUUUUACCUUAAUUAAUUUUACUAUAUUUAUCUAUGGAUUUUUUGAUGUCAGAAAAUACUACACGAAUGAGCAAUUAACCCAAAACAGGAAUUGGUGGCUAAAUUGUCAAUGUUUUAUUCCUAUUAUUUCUCACUUCAUUUUCUGUUACAUUACAAAAGUUUACGAGAAAUUUUCUGAACUUCUUCUACUGCUUUUAUUUAUUGAAGAGGCUGGUUUUUAUAGAGAAACAUGAGAAUAAACCUGUCACUGAAUCUCGGAUUAAAAAAGUAAAAAGAAUUUGCUUGAUUUAAGGGACAAACUUUGACUAGAUAAGGUAUGGAGAUAUUAGAUAUCUCCUUAUUAAAAAAUACUGGAAUUAGUAUCCCAAAAAUCAUAAAUAAACUAGGAAUUGAUCUCUUGGCUGAUUUAUCCCUAGCAAUUAGGAAUUAAUCUCUUUGCUGAUUUUUCUCACUUACCGAUGCUCCCACUUAAGCUGCUGCAUAGAUAUCUAUCAUGCACAAGGUGCUGAAAAGUUCUUUUGUGAGAAUAUUAGGUAUUUAUUGUGAUAUUGGAACAAAUUGCAUGCAUAUAACUCAUGCUUCAAACUUUUCCUUUAUUAUGUGCUUGUUAAUUUCAACAUGCUUUUUUCUAUCGUAUUGAACUGCACUGUGCGUAAUGCUAAUAGCUGUUAUGUUGUCAUAGUACAGCUUCACAGGCAUGGUUGUUGAUCUCUUUAGUUCCUUUAAAACUCGUUUCAGCCAUGCCAUCAACCCCAUGAGCCAUUGAUCGGUAUUCAGCCUCUGCAAUAUAUGUUUUGUUUCUUACUUCUCUAAGUCAUUAAGUUCCUUUGUAUAAAGGUCCAAUAGCCUAAUAUUGAUUUCCCAUUAGUGGUUCAGCCUGCGCAAUCUGCCUCUAUGUAUACCUCUUUCUUUUCAUGUUUUUUGAAGAAUAAACGCUUUCCUGGUGAGCUUUUCAAGGACCUCAGAAUUUGAUAUAUAGCUUCAAGGUGUUCUUCAUGAGGGGAAUGCAUAAAUUGACUCACAAAGCUUAUUGCAAAUGCAAUAUCUCAUGUAUGUGACAAGUAAAUAAGUUUCUCAACUAACUUUGGGUACUUGGGUACUGUGAUGUGUCCACUGGACAAUAGGAGUUUCUGCGGGGGACGAUAAGUACUCAUUCUUGUUUCAUUGGGCAAAUCAAUGAUGUGUUUCCUCUGCGAGAUUGAUAUUCCUUUUUUUUUUUGGUUAUGCUACUUUUCUUCCAAGAAAAUAUCUCAGUGAUCCCAAGUCUUUAAUCUCAAACUCAAACGCAAGACUCUUCUCAUUGGUUGUGUGUUUUCUGAACAUGGUAUGAUUAGUCUGUCCUUGAAUAUAUCCCUGGUCUUUUGCAAAUUGGAUGAACUUCUCAAAUUAGACUCUUGGAGAUUGUUUCGAACGUAGAGGGAGUUUUUAAAUUUUCAAACUUCUCAUCAAAAUUUAGUGGUUUAUUUCUUUUAAGUCUCUAUUAAAGAAUGUAUUUUUUACAUCUAAUUGCUGGAGAGGUUAGUUGAGGUUGACUGCAAUUGUUGUAGAGGCCAACGAGUUGUGGAGGCUCAUUGGGGUAUCGGUUAAAUGGGAGAAGAUACUAGGGGUGUGACUAAACCUCAUGGUUUGGGACUUUGGAAAAAAAUCGGCAUGGGGAAACAUAAAUUUUACGAAUGCACCAAGUGGAAGUUGGGGAAAGGUGAUAGUAUUUGUUAUUGAAAGGAUGAAUGGGUUGGAGGGGGUAGGCUCAAAGAUCAAUUUCUAAAGGAUUUUU
rnacentral:lncRNA from 1 species